rnacentral:rRNA from 1 species
CAGGACGAACGCUGGCGGCGUGCCUAAUACAUGCAAGUCGAACGGUCUUUCUAUGGAAGCUUGCUUCCACUGAGAAGAUAGUGGCGAACGGGUGAGUAACACGUGGGUAACCUGCCCAUAAGAGGGGGAUAACAUCCGGAAACGGGUGCUAAUACCGCAUAGUUUUCUUGAUCGCAUGAUUGAGAAAGGAAGGACGGCCUUUGUGCUGUCGCUUAUGGAUGGACCCGCGGCGUAUUAGUUAGUUGGUGAGGUAACGGCUCACCAAGACGAUGAUACGUAGCCGACCUGAGAGGGUGAUCGGCCACAUUGGGACUGAGACACGGCCCAAACUCCUACGGGAGGCAGCAGUAGGGAAUCUUCCGCAAUGGACGAAAGUCUGACGGAGCAACGCCGCGUGAGUGAAGAAGGUUUUUCCGGAUCGUAAAACUCUGUUGUCAGAGAAGAACAAGUUGGAGAGUAACUGCUCCAGCCUUGACGGUAUCUGACCAGAAAGCCACGGCUAACUACGUGCCAGCCGCUGC